CUCCGUAGGUGAACCUGCGGAGGGAUCAUUACCGAGUUUACAACUCCCAAACCCCUGUGAACAUACCACUUGUUGCCUCGGCGGAUCAGCCCGCUCCCGGUAAAACGGGACGGCCCGCCAGAGGACCCCUAAACUCUGUUUCUAUAUGUAACUUCUGAGUAAAACCAUAAAUAAAUCAAAACUUUCAACAACGGAUCUCUUGGUUCUGGCAUCGAUGAAGAACGCAGCAAAAUGCGAUAAGUAAUGUGAAUUGCAGAAUUCAGUGAAUCAUCGAAUCUUUGAACGCACAUUGCGCCCGCCAGUAUUCUGGCGGGCAUGCCUGUUCGAGCGUCAUUUCAACCCUCAAGCACAGCUUGGUGUUGGGACUCGCGUUAAUUCGCGUUCCCCAAAUUGAUUGGCGGUCACGUCGAGCUUCCAUAGCGUAGUAGUAAAACCCUCGUUACUGGUAAUCGUCGCGGCCACGCCGUUAAACCCCAACUU
rnacentral:rRNA from 1 species